rnacentral:tRNA from 1 species
AGUGAUCUAGCAAAAAUAGUGCAUUAAAUUUAGAAUUUAAAGAUAGUUAAACUGUUCAAUA